UAAUACUGUUUUCCAUUUUUUGUAGAAAUAGAGUAUUAAAAGAGACUCAAUGGACAUAAAGUGCACAGUGUGAUAAAAUGAUAAGCCAGAUUCCAGAUCCUAUAAAGAAGAAAACACUUCCUCGACUAAAACCACAUGAAAAUGAUGAAAUGCUUCACAGUGGAAAGACACCAAAUGCAUGUUCUGAAGUUACAGUGGUAAUGAUGUGACCCUCCAACCCACAUGCUCCUUUCACUCCUGGGGAAGCACAUAAUGAACAUAUGAGUGAAGGACAAGUACUUACAAAUAGUAGUGGG
rnacentral:lncRNA from 1 species